rnacentral:lncRNA from 1 species
AGAAGAUGAUGAGAGCAACCUCGGCGUCGCAGAGCACCGAAAGUUCGUACGCCUUCUUGAGAAGGCCAUUUCUUCUCUUAGCGAAGGUCACUUGCCUGUUGAUCUUGUUCUCAAUCCUCUUCAACUCAACCCUACCUCUCCCCAUUUUCUCAGGAAAAAUGAAGAAAAGAACAAAAGGAAAAGCCUCUAGCUUUCUCUCCGACCAAACAACAACAAACACAAAAUGCAAAACAGAUUUUUCCUCACCCCUCAAC